rnacentral:piRNA from 1 species
UUUAUCUGCUCCACAUUUUCC